rnacentral:misc_RNA from 1 species
GAUGAAUAACGCAGCGAAAUGCGAUACGUAAUGUGAAUUGCAGAAUUCAGUGAAUCAUCGAGUCUUUGAACGCACAUUGCGCCCCCUGGUAUUCCGGGGGGCAUGCCUGUCCGAGCGUCAUUGCUGCCCUCAAGCACGGCUUGUGUGUUGGGCCUCCGCCCCCCGGCUCCCGGGGGGCGGGCCCGAAAGGCAGCGGCGGCACCGCGUCCGGUCCUCGAGCGUAUGGGGCUUCGUCACCCGCUCCGUAGGCCCGGCCGGCGCCCGCCGGCGACCCCCCUCAAUCUUUCCAGGUUGACCUCGGAUCAGGUAGGGAUACCCGCUGAACUUAAGCAUAUCAAUAAGCGGAGGA